UGAGGAAUAUUGGGCAAUGCCCGCAAGGGUGACCCAGCAACGCCGCGUGGAGGAUGAAUGUCGUAAGAUUGUAAACUCCUGUUAGAGGGGAAGAAUAGUACCGGUUGGACCGGUAUAUGACUGUACCCUCAGAGAAAGCCCCGGCUAACUACGUGCCAGCAGCCGCGGUAAUACGUAGGGGGCAAGCGUUGUCCGGAUUUACUGGGUGUAAAGGGCGCGCAGGCGGGAUAAAAAGUCAGUGGUGAAAUCCUACAGCUUAACUGUAGAACUGCCUUUGAUACUUUUAAUCUUGAGUUCGGGAGAGAGAGACGGAAUUCCAGGUGUAGUGGUGAAAUACGUAGAUAUCUGGAAGAACACCAGUUGCGAAGGCGGUCUCUUGGUCCGACACUGACGCUGAGGCGCGAAAGCGUGGGGAGCAAAC
rnacentral:rRNA from 1 species